rnacentral:lncRNA from 10 species
UCUAAGGGGUGUGUAUGGAUGUAUAUUAAAUUUUUAACAAUGCAUUUUGCCUUCAUACAUGAUGGGCAACUAGCUAAUCUUUAUUCAUUUAUUCACUCAAUAAAAUUAUUAUUGAUGUCUACGAUGUGCUAUUCUGUCUUUCCAAUUACUAAAAAUGAAGAAGUAAAACAUAGAGGUCUCUCUAAUUCUUUCAAAACUUUAUAAAAAAGACUUCUGGCUUUCAAUAUUCAGAUAAAACUGAGACUGUGGCCUGGAUUUACUUCUUUUCUUUUUCUUGCUGUUAUAGGAGUUAUUAAGAAAUUAUUUUUCCUAGAUAGAGUGGAAAAACGGUUCUUGGAAAGUUUUUGUCUCUUUCAAAGCAGCUCCAGAAACAUUUCUUGUCUAGCAGGAAAGCCUGGCUCUUAAGAGCCAGUCAGGCAACCUUUGAUAUGCAAAUACAGGCCAUUAGAAGCUACUUCCAUCUAAACAUGUUGAUUCCCACCAUUGUCCUCUUGCCCUUGCUCCCACAUGUGCCUGGCAACAUGCCUGCCCCCACAUAUCCGCAGGUAUGUAGACCAUCAUGGCGCCCUGCAUUUGCAUAUUAAAAGACUAGGUGGGAGGGCCCAUUUUUUCGAGGGCUAUGUGAAUGACAUGUUUAGUCAAACCAAUCCCCUAAGCCCUAUGCAGAUCAGACACCGCCUCCUCCAGCCUCCUCAUAUAAAGCUGGUAUCCGCUUCACUCCGGGUUUCCUCUCUUGGCCUUGGAGACCCUUUCCCUCUGUCUCCGUACAGGGAAGCUUCUUCCUUCUUUCUUUUUUCUUGCCUAUUAAACUCUCUGCUCCUUGAAACUACUCCACGUGUAUCUGUCAUUUUAUGCAAUUCAGCCUAAGACAAGAGCCCUGGUGUUCCUCCACUCAUUGAAGUCGUAUCAUUUCUUUUUCUUUUUCUUUCUUUCUUUCUUUUUUUUUUUUUUUUUUUUUUUGAGUCAGCGUCUUCGUCUUUCACUCAGGCUGGAGAGUAGUGGCACAAUCAUAUCACAGCUCACUGCAGACUCGACCUCCUGGGCUCAAGCAAUCCUCCCACCUCAGCUUCCCAAGUAGCUGGGACCACAGGCAUGCUCCAUCAUGCUUGGCUAAUUUUUGUAUAAUUUUAUUUUAUUUUUAUUUUUUUUUUUUUGGAGAGAUGAGGUUUCGCCAUGUUUCUCAGGCUGCACUCACACUCCUAUGCUCAAGCAAUCUGCCGGCUUCAGCCUCCCAAAGUGCUGGGAUUACAGGUCUGCACCACACACCUGGCCUUGGAUUUAUUUCUUUUAGUCCAAAUACUCCUUUAAUAUUUCUGCAGUCUUAUAAUUACAAUAUCUGAUCAGGAAGUGAGUCUCCUUUCAUUAAUGUUGUGUGAACUCUCUUUAAAUCAAUUAAUGUAAACAGUAUAUUUUCCAGGAGAGUAAAUUUUUCUUAAAUUGUAUACUUGAUUUUAGUUUCUGUUUCAAGUUUUGUAAUUUGAUUCUUUUUCAGAAAUACCUAUAGAGAAUCAAAUCUUUCUUUUUUCUCCCACAGAUACCAUCUUCUCUUUGAUAGCUUUCAUGUUUUGUACUUUUCAACUUUUUUUUCUAUAUUCUAGGAUGGUUUCUCAAAUUCUCUGAUGUGUUCAUUUUGUUUUGCUAUUUCGAAUAUGGAUUUAGUUUAGGUGCAUAUUUUAGCUCCUCUACAAUGUUUCUUUUUUUUUUUUACUCUACCAGUCUCUAAAAAUCUAUUUCCAUUUCUUUAAUAGGUCAUUUAAGGGAUCUGCAUUCCUUUAAGUGUGUUGUUGAUAUGGUAAUUGGGUCAUGGGGGUGGUUUCCCCACCCUGUUCUCAUGAUAAUGAGUGAGUCUCAGGAGAUCUGAUGGUUUUGUAAGUGUCUGGCAUUUCCCCUGCUUGCACUCAUUCCAUCCUGCCCCCUGUGAAGAAGGUGCCUUUUUCUCCUUUGCCUGCUGCCAGGAUUCUAAGUUUCCUGAGGCCCCACCCAGCAAUGCAGAACUCCAACUCUUCUCUCUCAAUUUCUUGACCUUGC